CACAUUGGAAAUUAUUUAACAGAUUCUUUUUAUCGGGAGUUUUAAAAGGUGCAGAGAAUGAGAGGGGCAUUUUUUCUGGUUAUCAUGCGGCAUGAGGGAGGAUAGAGAGGAGGAGGGGUACCAACAUGCGAGAGAGGAUAGAGAGAAGGAGGGGUACCAGAGGAGGAGGGGUCCCUUUUGUUUAGUUAUAGAGAGUUUAACCUCGUUCGUUUUAUCCCUUGACUACCAACCCCCUAACUAGACCACGCGAGUGCGGUACCUUAGAGAGGAUAGAGAGACGGAGGGGGGUACCUUUUUUCUUUUUAGAGAGAGUUUAACCUCUUUGGUUCAACCCCUUAUCUAGUCUAGCGUUGUACCGUGAUGGUUCGGAUAUUGCGAUCGGAUAUUUAAUUGAUGUAGGAUUGUGUUUGUUAGAGUUGUAGUUCCUCCGAGGACAGCCAGCACUUGUAGUAGCGACCACUUCAAAGAGGACAAGCCAGUUGAAUAAAACAAAUGGAAGUUUUGUUACCGUAUGCUAUACGAGGUACUCUAAUCGUUAGUCUUCCUAAGGACCUUUCAGUUCCAGUCUUAUUAAUCCGAUACCCUACGGUAAUUAGAGUUGUUGUUACUUGAAUAAUCGGAACUGUACUAUGAUGAACUACUUCUCCAAUCGAAUUACUACUUUGAAAUACUUAAAGGUUGUAUUUAUGUGAUAAUACUCAACAUUAUCAAUGAUAUUAUAACUACGUAGAAGAGCGACGUGACAUUACAAAGUGCCAUGAUACUAUGUACCGUUCCAUUACUUCGUAUACCAAUUGUUCAAGUCUGGUAACUAGGUUCUUCCAAAUCAGAUGUACUAUCGUUUAAAAUUCCAAUACAGACGUUACUUAAAGGCAGGUCAACUUUCACUUUUCCAAGAUUUAAAGAACGUGUGCUGUUUUUAAGUUCUCUAUUCUCCAGUUUUUUUAUAGUUUUAUCGUCUUGUUUCGAAGUGCAAAACAUGACAACUUCAAGAAAGGUGUUCUCUAUCGGUUUUCUACAAGAAUAGACUACAGUAACCGUAUCGUUCAAUGUAUCCUGUAUAACUUCUUUGUGUCUGUUGGGUGCCCUAAAGUUUCUAAGCUCUAUAACACGAAGCUUAACUCCUAGUUUUUUAAUUAUAAUCUGAUACCCCAUUAUUCCAACCAGUUUAACUACUUCUAAGAAACCCCGCACACCAGUAUCAUUGUAGUUGAUGACAAUCUUUUGACUUUCUCAUGAGCGACAGUAGAUGUCCACGCUGGUCUCAAAUAUAGCUAAACCUAUAGGGACUUUGUUUACUCGAAGUUUGUUCCAUAACGAACGUUCUACUAUUCCAUCUCCUUUAUCUCGGCCUUCGGGUGAACGUUCCGUGUUAAGUUCUUGUCUACGAGAUAUUGUCUUCUUGGGAUUUUCUUUAUUGACUUUAAUGUAUACUUAGACUUUUUGUCAUUUUCAAGAUAUGAGGUCUUCGUUACUAAUUCAGUUAAUUAUGUAGUCUACUCACCAUGAUGUAUCCUACGGCGUUUACGUUGUUUUUCAUGACUUUGUUCCCUUGGUGAAGAUGACAGGCUUUACACUUUUUCUUGGACUCUUCUAUACAGGUUCUACCUCCUACUAUUUGGGUAAGAUUAUCUGUGAUUUUUCUGAUCCUCCUGAUCCUUGUGUGCAGUACAACAUGUAAGACUACUUCUUAGUCUUUUAGACCUAUCAGUUCUCUUUCUACUUAGGUAUAGACAACAACUAUUCCUUAGAUUCUUUUCCUCUUAAGUUUUUCUAUCGGUACUCGUUCGCCCGUUCAAUAGUCAAUACUUUUGAUAUUUCGUUCUUGGUCUCCUACUACUUGGGUGAUAAUUGGCCUGAUUUUCCCCAUCCUCUUCAUCGUGUCGAGUACAACAUCUGGAACUACUUCUUGGUUUUUGACUUCCAUCAGCCCUUUAUUACUUUAGUUUUAGAUACCUUCGUCCGGGGUUCUCCUUUGCGCGGCAUUGAGCGUUUACACGACCAUAACUAUUGUUUGUUCAUUUGUUAGUGGUACUUCUUCUUAGUCUUGUACGUCCAUGAGUCCUCGUGUUACUAAGUUCCGGAUCCUGUUCCGCAUCAACACAGUUGUUUCUUAACUACUCGUUUCCGUAAGUCUUCACACCACAUAGUUCUUGAGCUUUCAGUUUAGCAACUAAUCACCUUUAGGUCAAUAAAUCGUACAUUAUCUUGUAUAUCCUCGUAGUCUAAACAUGAAAUAUACUUGUAGUAACAAAUUCUAACCAAAAUUAUUUACAUUUACGUAUGGAAACACAAUCAUUUCAGUAAUCACUUUUCGUCGGUGUACCCCGCCAUGUAGUCAAAAUGUUUUUUGUAACAGUAAAUAGCAUGUGUAUAAUCGCUAAAAGUGUACAAGUAUG
rnacentral:rRNA from 1 species